CAUCGCAUCCUGGGGCUGUAGUCGGUCCCAAGGGUUGGGCUGUUCGCCCAUUAAAGCGGUACGCGAGCUGGGUUCAGAACGUCGUGAGACAGUUCGGUCCCUAUCCGUCGCGGGCGCAGGAAAUUUGAGAGGAGCUGUCCUUAGUACGAGAGGACCGGGAUGGACGCACCGCUGGUGUACCAGUUGUUCUGCCAAGGGCAUCGCUGGGUAGCUAUGUGCGGACGGGAUAAGUGCUGAAAGCAUCUAAGCAUGAAGCCCCCCUCAAGAUGAACUUUCCCAUUCCGCAA
rnacentral:rRNA from 1 species